rnacentral:tRNA from 1 species
GCCACCGUGGCGCAGAGGUUAUCGCGUUCGGCUGUUAACCGAAAGGUUGGUGGUUCGAGCCCACCCGGAGGCG